rnacentral:sRNA from 1 species
AGAAGUGCAAUCAAGCUAUCUUUAGACAACAGGUUCAACAACAGAUCAAUUCACUCCCGUGAUAGAAAACCUCAAGCAAAGCUAGCGCAGACUAAUUCCCAUUAACGGAAUCUAACUAUGCAGGCAAUAAGAACAAACUGAUAAAGUCAAUAAACGCUCUAAACGGCCAAUCCCUUCGGAUAGAGACGAAUAUCUCAGGAACUAGUGGAUCAAGCAUUCCAUCGAACACCUUCUGGGUGCGGGAAUGCUUUGUCGAAUUUCAGUUGAUCAGAAAAAAAUAAGCAGUAAACACAACUA